UCCCAAGGGUUUGGCUGUUCGCCAAUGAAAGUGGUACGUGAGCUGGGUUCAGACCGUCGUGAGACAGGUCGGUCCCUAUCUGCCGUGGGCGUUCGAAACUUGAGGGGAUUCUUCUUUAGUACGAGAGGAUUUGGAAGGACGUAGCUCUGGUGUACCAGUUGUCACGCUAGUGGCACGGCUGGAUAGCUAUCUACGGAAAGGAUAAAAGCUGAAAGCAUCUAAGCGUGAAGCCCUCCCCGAGAUUAGGUUUCGUAGCAUUCGCGAAAGUCCCCAGGAAGACAACCUGGUUGAUAGGUCGGAAGUGUAAGCGCAGCAAUGCGUUCAGCGAACCGAUACUAACGGACGAAAGCUUGGCCAC
rnacentral:rRNA from 1 species